rnacentral:rRNA from 1 species
CCGAGUUGUAAUUUGUAGAGGAUGCUUUUGGUGAGGUGCCUUCCGAGUUCCCUGGAACGGGACGCCAUAGAGGGUGAGAGCCCCGUACGGUUGGAUACCAAACCUCUGUAUAGCUCCUUCAACGAGUCGAGUAGUUUGGGAAUGCUGCUCUAAAUGGGAGGUAUAUCUCUUCUAAAGCUAAAUAUAGGCUAGAGACCGAUAGCGCACAAGUAGAGUGAUCGAAAGAUGAAAAGCACUUUGAAAAGAGAGUUAAACAGCACGUGAAAUUGUUGAAAGGGAAGCGCCUAUGACCAGACUUGUUUCUGGCAGUUUCGUUAGCCUUCGGGCUGAUUUACUCUGUCCAGUACAGGCCAGCAUCAGUUUGCUGUCGGGGAGAAAGGCUCUGGGAACGUAGCUCCCCCCUUCUGGGGGGAGUGUUAUAGCCCUCUGCAUAAUACCCUUCGGCAGACUGAGGACCGCGCUUCGGCAAGGAUGCUGGCGUAAUGGUCAUCAGCGACCCGUCUUGAAACACGGACCAAGGAGUCAACCUUAUGUGCGAGUGUUUGGGUGUAAAACCCCAGCGCGUAAUGAAAGUGAACGUAGGUGAGAGCUUCGGCGCAUCAUCGACCGAUUCUGAUGUUUUCGGAUGGAUUUGAGUAAGAGCACACAGGGUUGGACCCGAAAGAAGGUGAACUAUGCUUGUAUAGGGUGAAGCCAGAGGAAACUCUGGUGGAGGCUCGCAGCGGUUCUGACGUGCAAAUCGAUCGUCAAAUAUGAGCAUGGGGGCGAAAGACUAAUCGAACCUUCUAGUAGCUGGUUCCAGCCGAAGUUUCCCUCAGGAUAGCAGUGUUGAAUUUUCUUCAGUUUUAUGAGGUAAAGCGAAUGAUUAGGGACUCGGGGGCGCUAUAUUGCCUUCAUCCA